rnacentral:rRNA from 1 species
AGAAUCAACGCUGGCGGCGCGCCUAACACAUGCAAGUCGAACGAGAAAGUGGAGCAAUCCAUGAGUAAAGUGGCGUACGGGUGAGUAACACGUGGAUGAUCUGCCCUUUAGUGGGGAAUACCGCUGGGAAACCGGCGACAAUACCGCAUAAGCUCGAGAGAGGAAAGCAGCAAUGCGCUGAAGGAGGAGUCCGCGGUCGAUUAGUUAGUUGGCGGGGUAAAGGCCCACCAAGACUGUGAUCGAUA